UUUCCACAUAACGAGCAUCGAGGGUUUUAGGAGUUUCCCCAUAUCCAUGAGUAGCAAGUACACCUAAUCUUUUUGGUAUUUCGUGUUCCAUAUCCAUAACUAAAGAUAGAGAACAACUUAGAACAUCAAAUAAAUCUACUUAGUGAUAAAGCAAACAAGCACACAUGAGAAUAUUCACCCCACGCUAUUGCUCCCCGGCAACGGCGCCAGAAAAAGGUCUUGAUAACCCACAAGUACAGGGGAUCAAUUGUAGCCUUUCUCGAUAAGUAAGAGUGUCGAACCCAACGAGGAGCUAAAGGUAGGACAAAUAUUCCCUCAAGUUCUAUCGACCACCGAUACAACUCUACGCACACUUUACGUUUGCUUUACCUAGAACAAGUAUGAAACUAGAAGUACUUUGUAGGUGUGAUAGGAUAGGUUUGAAAGAAAAUAAAGAACACAUAAAUAAAAAAUAGGGGCUGUUAGAUAAAGAAACAAUUACGUUGGUUUAACGAGUGUGGAAAAGUGGUGGUAGGCGUUGCGGAAUUGUCCCUAAGCAAUUUACUACGUUACAAGACGGAUAGCAAGUUUUAUGUGGGAGAGGCCACUGCUAGCAUGUCAUCCCUUACUUGGAAUUCUAUGCACUUAUGAUUGGAACUAUUAGCAAGCAUCCGCAACUACUAACGUUCAUUAAGGUGAAAUCCAACCAUAGCAAUAAGAUAUAUUGGUCCCCCUUCAAUCCCGUAUGCAUCAAUUUCUUUGCUAGGCUGAAGCUUCUGUCACCCUUGCCCUCCAAUACAUAGUCCUAUCAACAGACUACUAACCCUAUGGUGUGAUCCACG
rnacentral:lncRNA from 1 species